AAAGAAGUUGCCCAUGUUAUUUUCGCUUUAUACGUGACGAAACAAACAUGGUGCACUUCUU
rnacentral:miRNA from 1 species